rnacentral:rRNA from 1 species
AAACUAAUUCAGUUUGGCGGCAUUUCACUCAAUUAGAGGAAUUUGUCUUUUAAUCGAUACUCCACGAUAAAUUUAACUUUAUUCAAAAAUUUAUAUACCGCCAUCUUAAGAAUCAAUUAAAAAAUACUUUUCAAAAAAACAAUUAAAAAGUUAGGUCAAGGUGUAAUCCAUAUUAAAGAAUCAGAUGAAUUACAUUAAACAUUAUUUAAAGAUUUUAAAUAAAUUUAUUUAUAUAAAUAAGGAUUUAAAAGUAAUAUUUAAAUAAUAUUAUAAUAUGAAUUGAACAAUAAAUGUGCACACAUCGCCC